UUAUUGAGGUGAGAAAGGGCUCCUCAUGCGCUGAGAAUUUCAGUAACUAGAGAUGCAGGAAGUGUCGACCUGCCAAUAAU
rnacentral:ncRNA from 1 species